GAUGAAUGCUGGCGGCGUGCCUAACACAUGCAAGUCGAGCGGCAGCGAGGGGUGCCUGCACCCUGUCGGCGAGCGGCGAACGGCUGAGUAACGCGUAGGAAUUUGCCCCAAAGUGAGGAAUAACUGCCCGAAAGGGUAGCUAAUGCCGCAUAUGGUCUUCGGAUUAAAGGAUUUAUCCGCUUUGGGAGAAGCCUGCGUUGGAUUAGGUUGUUGGUAGGGUAAUGGCCUACCAAGCCGACGAUCCAUAGCUGGUCUGAGAGGAUGAUCAGCCAGACUGGAACUGAGACACGGUCCAGACUCCUACGGGAGGCAGCAGUGAGGAAUCUUCCACAAUGGGCGAAAGCCUGAUGGAGCAACGCCGCGUGAAGGAUGAAGGCCUUCGGGUUGUAAACUUCUUUUAUGAGUGAAGAAUAUGACGGUAACUCAUGAAUAAGCACCGGCUAACUACGUG
rnacentral:rRNA from 1 species